rnacentral:rRNA from 1 species
CUUUUUGCAUGUACCUUAUGAAUAAGGACCGGCUAAUUCCGUGCCAGCAGCCGCGGUAAUACGGAAGGUCCGGGCGUUAUCCGGAUUUAUUGGGUUUAAAGGGAGCGUAGGCCGGAGAUUAAGCGUGUUGUGAAAUGUAGACGCUCAACGUCUGCACUGCAGCGCGAACUGGUUUCCUUGAGUACGCACAAAGUGGGCGGAAUUCGUGGUGUAGCGGUGAAAUGCUUAGAUAUCACGAAGAACUCCGAUUGCGAAGGCAGCUCACUGGAGCGCAACUGACGCUGAAGCUCGAAAGUGCGGGUAUCGAACAGGAUUAGAUACCCUGGUAGUCCGCACGGUAAACGAUGGAUGCCCGCUGUUGGUCUGAAUAGGUCAGCGGCCAAGCGAAAGCAUUAAGCAUCCCACCUGGGGAGUACGCCGGCAACGGUGAAACUCAAAGGAAUUGACGGGGGCCCGCACAAGCGGAGGAACAUGUGGUUUAAUUCGAUGAUACGCGAGGAACCUUACCCGGGCUUGAAUUGCAGAGGAAGGAUUUGGAGACAAUGACGCCCUUCGGGGCCUCUGUGAAGGUGCUGCAUGGUUGUCGUCAGCUCGUGCCGUGAGGUGUCGGCUUAAGUGCCAUAACGAGCGCAACCCCUCUCCUUAGUUGCCAUCAGGUCAAGCUGGGCACUCUGGGGACACUGCCACCGUAAGGUGUGAGGAAGGUGGGGAUGACGUCAAAUCAGCACGGCCCUUACGUCCGGGGCUACACACGUGUUACAAUGGCAGGUACAGAGAGACGGUCCCUUGCAAAAUGGAUCAAAUCCUUAAAGCCUGUCUCAGUUCGGACUGGGGUCUGCAACCCGACCCCACGAAGCUGGAUUCGCUAGUAAUCGCGCAUCAGCCAUGGCGCGGUGAAUACGUUCCCGGGCCUUGUACACACCGCCCGUCAAGCCAUGAAAGCCGGGGGCGCCUAAAGUCCGUGACCGUAAGGAGCGGCCUAGGGCGAAACUGGUAAUUGGGGCUAAGUCGUAACAAGGUAGCCGUACCGGAAGGUGCGGCUG